UAGUCCACGCCCUAAACGAUGCGAACUCGAUAUUUGCCCUUGUGGGUGAGUGUCCAAGCGAAAGCGUUAAGUUCGCCACCUGGGGAGUACGUCGGCAACGAUGAAACUCAAAGGAAUUGACGGGGCCCGCACAAGCGGUGGAGCAUGUGGUUUAAUUCGAUGCAACGCGAAGAACCUUACCUACUCUUGACAUCCAGAGAAGCCAGCGGAGACGCAGGUGUGCCUUCGGGAGCUCUGAGACAGGUGCUGCAUGGCUGUCGUCAGCUCGUGUCGUGAGAUGUUGGGUUAAGUCCCGCAACGAGCGCAACCCUUGUCCCUAGUUGCCAGCACAUAAUGGUGGGAACUCUAGGGAGACUGCCGGUGACAAACCGGAGGAAGGUGGGGAUGACGUCAAGUCAUCAUGGGCCCUUAUGGGGUAGGGGCUACACACGUGCUACAAUGGUCGGUACAGAGGGUUGCC
rnacentral:rRNA from 1 species